rnacentral:lncRNA from 1 species
UUUUUUUUUUUUUUUUUUUUUUUUUUUUUUUUUUUUUUUUUUAACCAUUUCAAUAAGUAUGUUGGUACACAUUUUUUUUUAUAUAGAAGACUACUUAUCAUAUACUAAAUGUCACAUUUUAAAUGUUCAGAAACAUUUACUUUGAUUUUAGUGUAAAAUUACUCAUCAAUUGAGGUGCUCCUGAAUUGGAGGAAGAUUCUAAAAACAGAACUUUACAGAAACAAUGAAAACUGCCGUUUCUCUCCCCAAUCUCAUGUAUCCCCAUUGACAUUGUUUACUGCGAAAGUUGACCUACAUAUUAUCUGAUUAUAGCCUCAGAUUCAAGCAUUUCAUCUUGUUGUGUGAAUCAUCUACACUACAGCAAACAUCAUUAGGUUUAUAUUUAACAAAUACGGAUUUUAAAUUAGUAUACAAGUACUGUGAAUGAUUUUUAUAAUG